rnacentral:rRNA from 1 species
UACGUAGGGGGCAAGCGUUGUCCGGAUUCAUUGGGCGUAAAGAGCGUGUAGGCGGCCAGGUAGGUCGGUUGUGAAAACUGGAGGCUCAACCUUCAGAGGUCGACCGAAACCAUCUGGCUAGAGUCCGGGAGAGGAGAGUGGAAUUCCUGGUGUAGCGGUGAAAUGCGCAGAUAUCAGGAAGAACACCCGUGGCGAAAGCGGCUCUCUGGAACGGUACUGACGCUGAGGCGCGAAAGCUAGGGGAGCAAACGGG